UUUCUUCGAUCUGGGUUCUCUAGAGAAUCCCAUCGAUUUUCACGCCGGAAGUUUAAAAGAAGAAGAAGAAGAAGAGAGAUUGCGGUUUUGGGUGGUUUCGAUCAUUUUUGGGGGUUUCUUUUUUAAAAAUUCAGUUCCUUUUGAGCAGUUUUGGGCUGAUAAAUCAGCUUUGGGAGCAUUUUCCCUUCUCGUUUUGGUCGUCUUUUUAUCAAUUUUGGGCUUUUUGUUCAAUUCAAGUUGUCUUUGUAAUGGUGUUUUUUUCUAUCAUUUAAGUGGUUUGAGGAGUUGGGUGUCUGGUUUUAGACAUGGGUGCUGCUUCUGCUCAGUGCCCAUCUGGAAUUAAGGCUCUGAUUCAGGGAGGAUUUACUGUUUUACCCCCCAAGUUGGAGUUCUUUAAGCUUUCUUACAACCCAAGAGGAGAAUCUCUGAAAUUGGGUUUCUGCCCAAGUUCCGAUUCCGUUAGUUCUUCCAAGGGGUCCCAGACGCGAGUUAGUGCUCUACCUGAUAUCGACGAUUUCUUCUGGGAAAAAGAUCCAACACCAUUGCUGGAUAUGGUAAAAAAUCCAAUUCAUUUGAAGAACUUAUCUCCCAAGGAACUGAAACAGUUAGCUGAUGAAAUCCGUUCUGAGAUCAACUUUUCUAUGUCAAGAACACGGAGACCCUUUAAAGCCAGUCUUGGGGUGGUGGAGCUGACCGUUGCAAUACAUUACGUUUUCCAUGCCCCAAUGGACAAGAUACUGUGGGAUGUUGGUGAACAGACAUACGCACAUAAGAUUCUCACUGGAAGGCGAUCUCUUAUGCAUACACUAAGGCAAAAGAACGGUCUCUCAGGUUUUACAUCUCGCUCUGAGAGUGAAUAUGACGCAUUUGGUGCUGGGCAUGGAUGCAAUAGUGUCUCUGCUGGACUUGGUAUGGCGGUUGCACGUGACCUGAAAGGGAAGAAGGACCGCAUCGUUACUGUGAUCGGUAAUGGGACGACUAUGGCUGGUCAGGUCUAUGAAGCGAUGAGCAAUGCGGGGUAUCUAGAUUCCAAUAUGGUUGUGAUUUUGAAUGAUAGCCGACACUCUUUACAGCCAAAGCCAGAAGAAGGCUCAAAAAUGGCGAUCAAUGCUCUAUCCAGCACUCUAAGCAGGCUCCAGUCCAGCAAAUCCUUCCGGCAGUUACGAGAAGCUGCCAAGGGUGUUACUAAGAGAAUUGGUAGAGGGAUGCAUGAGUUGGCGGCCAAAGUUGAUGAGUAUGCACGUGGUAUGAUUGGCCCGUUGGGAUCGACUCUGUUCGAAGAACUUGGUUUGUAUUACAUUGGCCCUGUCGAUGGACACAACAUUGAUGACCUCAUCUGCAUACUCCAAGAAGUUGCAUCUUUGGAUUCUUCUGGGCCCGUGUUAGUUCAUGUUAUUACAGAGGAGGGCGAUGGUUCAGAAGAAGGCCACAAAAAUGGGAUGACAGUCAAACACCAAGGUUUGUCUCCUUCAUACUCAAGCCUUUUGAGCAGCAGCCUCUCUCGGACAUACAGCGAUUGCUUUGUUGAGGCUUUAGUUGCGGAAGCAGAGAGAGAUAAAGAUAUCGUGGCCGUUCAUGCAGAUAUGGGAAUGGAUCCAUCACUCCAACUUUUUCAGGAAAGAUUUCCAGAGAAAUAUUUCGAUGUUGGGAUGGCUGAGCAGCAUGCUGUAACUUUUGCUGCUGGUUUGUCAUGUGGGGGUUUGAAACCUUUCUGUAUCAUUCCAUCUACGUUUCUGCAGAGAGCAUAUGACCAGGUUGUGCAAGAUGUGGAUCUGCAGAGUAUACCAGUGCGGUUCGCUAUCACGAGUGCAGGACUUGUUGGUUCUGAUGGCCCUACACAUUGUGGAGCAUUUGACAUAACAUUCAUGUCAUGCUUGCCAAACAUGAUAGCCAUGGCACCAUCAGAUGAGGAUGAGCUUGUUCACAUGGUAGCCACUGCUGCGUGCAUCAAUGACAGGCCUGUUUGCUUCCGGUAUCCAAGAGGUGCUAUUGUUGGGAUGAACAUCCCUUUAUGCAAUGGGUUACCCCUUGAGAUCGGAAAGGGGAGAAUUCUUGCAGAGGGCAAGAAUGUGGCUUUGCUUGGAUAUGGAGUGAUGGUUCAGAACUGCCUCAAGGCUCGCUCUCUUCUUGCCAACCUUGGCAUUCAGGUGACAGUCGCUGAUGCAAGGUUCUGUAAGCCACUUGACAUCGAACUUGUCAGGCAGCUAUGCAAAGAACAUGAGUUUCUGAUCACGGUUGAGGAAGGCACCAUCGGAGGAUUUGGAUCCCAUGUUGCACAGUUCAUUUCACUUGACGGACAACUUGAUGGAAGAGUUAAGUGGCGGCCCAUUGUAUUACCCGACAAUUACAUAGAGCAAGCAUCACCAAAGGAGCAGCUUGCUCUUGCAGGCCUUACUGGACAUCACAUUGCAGCCACAGCAUUGAGUCUGCUAGGACGCACCCGGGAUGCCCUUCUUUUAAUGCGCUAAAAGAUCUCUGCAAAUGCUACCAAUCAAAAGAAGCCCAAAGAGCUGAGCCCCAUAUCUCUGCCUCCAUGUUCAUAUGAGCACUGCUGGAUUCUUCCUCUCAUCCCAUUUCCUGCCUAUAUUUAUAGGAAAGAGAAAUGGCUUCCGAUUCAGAUCUUAAAUGCCUGUCUGAUGUGCAAUGCAAACAGGUUGGUUCGGACGAACGAGCCAGAUGUGGGCCCCACUGUGGUUUGAACAGAUUGCAUGUAGACCUCAUCCUCCUUACCGGCGUUGAACGAGAAUUUUUUUAUUAUUAUUGAUGAAUGUCAAGUGAUGAAUGUGGAUUGGCCUUUCCUGCAAUUCUAUACAGGUGUUAUGUAGCAUAUAAAGAAUUACCUUUGACAUCA